rnacentral:lncRNA from 1 species
GUUUUAAUGCAUUUUUCAAAAUUGAGAGGCUAACUAGUGAGUUUUAAUUUUCGCUUUAAUUUAAUGCAUGCUCCCUAUUGUUUUUGCUAUGACUUUGCACACAUAGCUUCUUAUAAGAUAUCCUUCUUUUCAGGACAAAAAAAACUAAGCAUGUGUAUAUGAAAUUUUCUCAUUGAUCUUUCCAUAGUUGUCUAAUCGAGAUUCGAAAAUCGAAUAUAGUUGUAAGAUCUGCUGAAAAUUCAAAAAAUCAAUUAAAAAUAAUACAUUAUCAUGAUGACAUAUAGAAUAAUAUUUAUUUGUUAUGUUAUAUAAUUUCAAUUUUAGAAAUAUUUGUUUAUGUUAUAUAAUUUCAAAUUUAGAAAUAUUUGUUAUAAUAAUGUGUUGUAUAUACACAUAUAUUUAUAUAUAUAUAGAUAUAUGUAUGUAUACACACACACACACACACACACACACGCACACACACUUUAUAGCAAAAAUGAAUACUUAUGAUAGUUUAUUUCUACAAACCUGCCAGCAGGGGAGUUGGGGAGAUGUUUCCAUAGUUAUGAAAUUUUCUCAUUGAUCCUUUCCAUAGUUGUCUAAUCGAGAUUCGAAAAUCGGAUAUAGUUGUAAGAUUUGCUGAAAAUUCCAAAGAUCAAUUAAAAAUAAUACAUUAUCAUGAUGACAUAUUUUGAUAAUAUAGGAUUGUCAUUCGUCUAGUUAGAAAUAUUCUUUAUAAUAGAAUGAUAUUUAUUUGUUAUGUUAUAUAAUUUCAAUUUUAGAAAUAUUUGUUUAUGUUAUAUAAUUUCAAAUUUAGAAAUAUUUGAUAUAAUAAUGUGUUGUAUAUACACAUAUAUUUAUAUAUAUAGAUAUAUGUAUGUAUGUAUGUACACACACACACACACACACACACACACACACUUUAUAGCAAAAAUGAAUACUUAUGAUAGUUUAUUUCUACAAACCUGCCAGCAGGGGAGUCGGGGAGAUGUUUUACCCUUUAUUUUGUGCUUGUCAUUUAAUUUAUAUAUUCCUUGUUAUUAAUAUUAGGUCAUAUCGAACUAGUUUUUGAGUUUGUAUAUUUGCAUGCAUUUUCAGC